UCCCUGGGGGUCCAGUGGUUAAGACUCUGCACUUCCAAUGCAGGGAGCAAGAGUUCAAUCCCUGGUCAGGGAA
rfam:TPA: Bos taurus chromosome 3, whole genome shotgun sequence.